rnacentral:rRNA from 1 species
AACUGUAUCUCUGCCGAAGAAGCUCAAGAAGAUCCCAACGUCGUUCUCGGUACGCUUCUUGUUAAUUGCCACCCGGCAUCUGUUCUUUUCGAUACAGGAGCCUCUCAUUCUUUUAUAUCUGAAAACUAUGCUCGUUUGCAUAACGUUGCAUUUUGUGACUUGCCAUCCUCUAUGGUAAUUCAAACUCCUGGAUCCAAAUGGCAAACUUCUAGAGUAAGCCAUGGAAAUGAAAUCCAAGUCGACAGACUUGUUUUUCUCGCAUCUUUGAUAGCCCUUAAAUCUUCAGAUAUUAAUAUCAUUUUGGGUAUGGACUGGAUGUCAGCUCAUCAUGCCCAAAUUGAUUGCUUCUCUAGGACUGUUCAACUCACCCAUCCUUCGGGAAAGAUAGUCAAUGUCUUGACCCGAAUAGCCAAGCAACAAUUAUUUUCUCUUAACGCC